CCAGCUUGCUGGGGUACACGAGUGGCGAACGGGUGAGUAACACGUGGGUGACCUGCCCCGCACUUCGGGAUAAGCCUGGGAAACUGGGUCUAAUACCGGAUAGGACCGCAUUGUGAGGAUGUGGUGGAAAGUUUUUUCGGUGUGGGAUGGGCCCGCGGCCUAUCAGCUUGUUGGUGGGGUAAUGGCCUACCAAGGCGGCGACGGGUAGCCGGCCUGAGAGGGUGGACGGCCACAUUGGGACUGAGACACGGCCCAGACUCCUACGGGAGGCAGCAGUGGGGAAUAUUGCACAAUGGGCGGAAGCCUGAUGCAGCGACCCCGCGUGGGGGAUGACGGCCUUCGGGUUGUAAACUCCUUUCACCAUCGACAAAGGUUUUCUGACGGUAGAUGGAGAAGAAGCACCGGCUAACUACGUGCCAGCA
rnacentral:rRNA from 1 species